AGAGUGAACGCUGGCGGUAGGCCUAACACAUGCAAGUCGAACGGCAGCACGGUAAGAGCUUGCUCUUAUGGGUGGCGAGUGGCGGACGGGUGAGGAAUACAUCGGAAUCUACCUUUUGGUGGGGGAUAACGUAGGGAACUUACGCUAAUACCGCAUACGCCCUUCGGGGGAAAGCCGGGGACCAGCAAUGGCCUGGCGCUGAUAGAUGAGCCGAUGUCGGAUUAGCUAGUUGGUGAGGUAAUGGCUCACCAAGGCGACGAUCCGUAGCUGGUCUGGAGAGGAUGAUCAGCCACACUGGACUAGAGACACGGUCCAGACUCCGUACGGGAGGCCAGCGAGGUGGGAAAUGUUAGGAACAAGUCGGGCGACGAACG
rnacentral:rRNA from 1 species